AGUGAACGCUGGCGGUAGGCCUAACACAUGCAAGUCGAACGGCAGCACAGUAAGAGCUUGCUCUUACGGGUGGCGAGUGGCGGACGGGUGAGGAAUACAUCGGAAUCUACUUUUUCGUGGGGGAUAACGUAGGGAAACUUACGCUAAUACCGCAUACUACCUACGGGUGAAAGCAGGGGAUCUUCGGACCUUGCGCGAUUGAAUGAGCCGAUGUCGGAUUAGCUAGUUGGCGGGGUAAAGGCCCACCAAGGCGACGAUCCGUAGCUGGUCUGAGAGGAUGAUCAGCCACACUGGAACUGAGACACGGUCCAGACUCCUACGGGAGGCAGCAGUGGGGAAUAUUGGACAAUGGGCGCAAGCCUGAUGCAGCCAUGCCGCGUGGAUGAAGAAGGCCUUCGGGUUGUAAAGCACUUUCGUUGGGGAGGAAGAGAAGAAAGUUAAUACCUCGGCGUUUUGACGGUACCCGCAGAAUAAGCACCGGCUAACUCCGUG
rnacentral:rRNA from 1 species